rnacentral:rRNA from 1 species
UACGAGGGGGGCAAGCGUUGUUCGGAAUUAUUGGGCGUAAAGGGUGCGUAGGCGGUUUGGUAAGUCUUAUGUGAAAUCUACAGGCUCAACUUGUAGUCUGCAUGAGAAACUGCCGGGCUUGAGUAUGGGAGAGGUGAGUGGAAUUCCUGGUGUAGCGGUGAAAUGCGUAGAUAUCAGGAGGAACACCUGUGGCGAAAGCGGCUCACUGGACCAUAACUGACGCUGAUGCACGAAAGCUAGGGGAGCAAACGGG